rnacentral:tRNA from 1 species
ACCCGGUGACCCGAGUUUGACCGCAGAAGCUGACUCUUAAUCAGCGGGUCCGGGGUUCGAAACCCUGACGGCGCACCA